AGGAAAUUGCAACUUUUGGCCCAAAGGUUUGAAUAAUUAAAUUCAAACCUAUAGUUUUUUUUUCUAAUAUAAUUUUGGGACCACAAUCCCAUUUUUAUAUUAUUUUUCUCUCUUCCUCUCACGUUGCUCGGCGUUUUUCUCACAAGGGAAAUUAUUUUCUUUUCUUCAGAUUAUAUUGACAAAGAUAGUGGUGAAAAAGGAGUUGUGAAGGGGAACUUGUUAUUCAAGACACAAGGAACGAAUCCGGCCGAGAAAGCACCAGAGGUGUAAUUAUGGUGUAUGAGACACCAUCUUUUACGUUGCCUCUUAUUUUGGAUUAUACAAUGUAUCUUGUGCCAACUUAGGACAUAUCUUAUUUGUG